AUUGAACGCUGGCGGCAGGCUUAACGCAUGCAAGUCGAGCGGGGUGAUGGUGCUUGCACUAUCACUUAGCGGCGGACGGGUGAGUAAUGCAUAGGAAUCUGCCUAUUAGUGGGGGACAACAUCUAGAAAGGGAUGCUAAUACCGCAUACGUCCUACGGGAGAAAGCAGGGGAUCACUUGUGACCUUGCGCUAAUAGAUGAGCCUAAGUCGGGUUAGGUAGUUGGUGGGGUAAAGGCCUACCCAGGCGACGAUCUGCAGCUGGUCUGAGCGGAUGAACCGCCACACUGGGACAGAGAAACGGCCCAAACUCCUACUGGAGGCAGCAGUGGGGAAGAGUGGACAAUGGGGGGAACCCUGAUCCAGCCAUGCCGCGUGUGUGAAGAAGGCCUUAUGGUUGUAAAGCACUUUAGGCGAGGAGGAGGCUACUUUAGUUAAUACCUAGAGAUGGUGGACGUUACUCGCAGAAUAAGCACCGGCUAACUCUGUGCCAGCAGCCGCGGUAA
rnacentral:rRNA from 1 species